UGGGGAAUAUUGCACAAUGGGCGCAAGCCUGAUGCAGCCAUGCCGCGUGUGUGAAGAAGGCCUUCGGGUUGUAAAGCACUUUCAGCGAGGAGGAAGGUGGUGAACUUAAUACGUUCAUCAAUUGACGUUACUCGCAGAAGAAGCACCGGCUAACUCCGUGCCAGCAGCCGCGGUAAUACGGAGGGUGCAAGCGUUAAUCGGAAUUACUGGGCGUAAAGCGCACGCAGGCGGUUUGUUAAGUCAGAUGUGAAAUCCCCGGGCUCAACCUGGGAACUGCAUUUGAAACUGGCAAGCUAGAGUCUCGUAGAGGGGGGUAGAAUUCCAGGUGUAGCGGUGAAAUGCGUAGAGAUCUGGAGGAAUACCGGUGGCGAAGGCGGCCCCCUGGACGAAGACUGACGCUCAGGUGCGAAAGCGUGGGGGGCAAACAGAUUAGAUACCCUGGUAGUCCACGCUGUAAACGAUGUCGAUUUGGAGGUUGUGCCCUUGAGGCGUGGCUUCCGGAGCUAACGCGUUAAAUCGACCGCCU
rnacentral:rRNA from 1 species